GACGAACGCUGGCGGCGUGCUUAACACAUGCAAGUCGAACGGAAAGGCCCUGCUUGCCGGGUACUCGAGUGGCGAACGGGUGAGUAACACGUGGGUGAUCUGCCCUGCACUUCGGGAUAAGCCUGGGAAACUGGGUCUAAUACCGGAUAGGAGCCCUUUUUAGUGUGAUGGUUGGAAAGUUUUUUCGGUUUGGGAUGGGCUCGCGGCCUAUCUGCUUGUUGGUGGGGUAAUGGCCUACCAAGGCGGCGACGGGUAGCCGGCCUGAGUGGGUGGACGGCCACAUUGGGACUGAGAUACGGCCCAGACUCCCACGGGAGGCAGCAGUGGGGAAUAUUGCACAAUGGGCGCAAGCCUGAUGCAGGGACGCCGCGUGGGGGAUGACGGCCUUCGGGUUGUAAACUCCUUUCGCUAGGGACGAAGCUUUUUGUGACGGUACCUAGAGAAGAAGCACCGGCUAACUACGUG
rnacentral:rRNA from 1 species